rnacentral:rRNA from 1 species
AGCGAACGCUGGCGGCAGGCUUAACACAUGCAAGUCGAGCGGGCCCUUCGGGGUCAGCGGCAGACGGGUGAGUAACGCGUGGGAACGUGCCCUUCGGUUCGGAAUAACUCAAGGAAACUUGAGCUAAUACCGGAUACGCCCUUUUGGGGAAAGGCUUGACUGCCGAAGGAUCGGCCCGCGUCUGAUUAGCUAGUUGGUGAGGUUACGGCUCACCAAGGCGACGAUCAGUAGCUGGUCUGAGAGGAUGAUCAGCCACACUGGGACUGAGACACGGCCCAGACUCCUACGGGAGGCAGCAGUGGGGAAUAUUGGACAAUGGGGACAACCCUGAUCCAGCCAUGCCGCGUGAGUGAUGACGGCCUUAGGGUUGUAAAGCUCCUUUCUCCGGGACGAUAAUGACGGUACCGGAGGAAUAAGCCCCGGCUAACUUCGUGCCAGCCGCCGCAGUAA